UUGCACGCUGGCGGCAGGCCUAACACCUGCAAGUCGAACGGUAACAGGAAGAAGCUUGCUUCUUUGCUGACGAGUGGCGGACGGGUGAGUAAUGUCUGGGAAACUGCCUGAUGGAGGGGGAUAACUACUGGAAACGGUAGCUAAUACCGCAUAACGUCGCAAGACCAAAGAGGGGGACCUUCGGGCCUCUUGCCAUCGGAUGUGCCCAGAUGGGAUUAGCUAGUAGGUGGGGUAACGGCUCACCUAGGCGACGAUCCCUAGGUGGUCUGAGAGGAUGACCAGCCACACUGGAACUGAGACACGGUACAGACUCCUACGGGAGGCAGCAGUGGGGAAUAUUGCACAAUGGGCGCAAGCCUGAUGCAGCCAUGCCGCGUGUAUGAAGAAGGCCUUCGGGUUGUAAAGUGCUUUCAGCGGGGAGGAAGGGAGUAAAGUUAAUACCUUUGCUCAUUGACGUUACCCGCAGAAGAAGCACCGGCUAACUCCGUG
rnacentral:rRNA from 1 species